CAAUAGCGUAUAUUAAAGCUGUUGCGGUUAAAAAGCUCGUAGUUGGAUUUCUGUCAAGGACAACUGGUCCGCCCUCCGGGUGAGCACAUAGUUUGGUCUCGACAUCUUGCUGGAAGCUGUUGCUGCACUUGGCUGUGUGGCGCAGUGUUCAGCACUUUCACUUUGAGGAAAUUGGAGUGUUUCAAGCAGGCACAUGCCUUUGGACACAGUAGCAUGGAAUAAUUAGAUUGGGCUUUUGCUCCAAUUUGUCGGUUUCUGGAGCUGAGGUGAGUAUUAAUGGGGAUUGUUGGGGGCAUCCGAAUUUAGCCGUCAGAGGUGAAAUUCUUGGAUCUGCUAAAGACGGACAACUGCGAAAGCGUUUGCCCAGGAUGUUUUCAUUGA
rnacentral:rRNA from 1 species